rnacentral:rRNA from 1 species
UACGAAGGGGGCUAGCGUUACUCGGAAUCACUGGGCGUAAAGCGCACGUAGGCGGAUUGUUAAGUCAGGGGUGAAAUCCUGGAGCUCAACUCCAGAACUGCCUUUGAUACUGGCGAUCUCGAGUCCGGGAGAGGUGAGUGGAACUGCGAGUGUAGAGGUGAAAUUCGUAGAUAUUCGCAAGAACACCAGUGGCGAAGGCGGCUCACUGGCCCGGUACUGACGCUGAGGUGCGAAAGCGUGGGGAGCAAACAGG